rnacentral:rRNA from 1 species
UCAGGAUGAACGCUAGCUACAGGCUUAACACAUGCAAGUCGAGGGGCAGCAUGGUCUUAGCUUGCUAAGGCUGAUGGCGACCGGCGCACGGGUGAGUAACACGUAUCCAACCUGCCGUCUACUCUUGGCCAGCCUUCUGAAAGGAAGAUUAAUCCAGGAUGGGAUCAUGAGUUCACAUGUCCGCAUGAUUAAAGGUAUUUUCCGGUAGACGAUGGGGAUGCGUUCCAUUAGAUAGUAGGCGGGGUAACGGCCCACCUAGUCAACGAUGGAUAGGGGUUCUGAGAGGAAGGUCCCCCACAUUGGAACUGAGACACGGUCCAAACUCCUACGGGAGGCAGCAGUGAGGAAUAUUGGUCAAUGGGCGAUGGCCUGAACCAGCCAAGUAGCGUGAAGGAUGACUGCCCUAUGGGUUGUAAACUUCUUUUAUAAAGGAAUAAAGUCGGGUAUGCAUACCCGUUUGCAUGUACUUUAUGAAUAAGGAUCGACUAACUCCGUGCCAGCAGCCGCGGUAAUACGGAGGAUCCGAGCGUUAUCCGGAUUUAUUGGGUUUAAAGGGAGCGUAGAUGGAUGUUUAAGUCAGUUGUGAAAGUUUGCGGCUCAACCGUAAAAUUGCAGUUGAUACUGGAUGUCUUGAGUGCAGUUGAGGCAGGCGGAAUUCGUGGUGUAGCGGUGAAAUGCUUAGAUAUCACGAAGAACUCCGAUUGCGAAGGCAGCCUGCUAAGCUGCA